AAUAAAAUAUAUUGGUACACUUCCAGGUACUAUGGCUGCAUUGCAAAUUACGCCCACAAGGUAGUGGUAAAAAACAACCAUUUAUUAUGCUGACGGAUUCUAUGCGUCAGGAAUUGAGAUAGCACAGCAGGUAUGACUUUUUUUCUGCUCCCUUAUGCAUAGGGCCUCAACUGGAAGGCUGAAGAUGGGAAUCCUCUGAAAAGUUUUCACUUUCAUGUUGGUGAUUGAUACUGGCUGGAGGCUGCGGGCUGGAGACCUCAGCUCAACUCCCUGUAGACCUCUGCAGGUGGUCUCUUAAUGUGGACUUGGUUGGGCUCCUCACAGCAUGAGGGUUAGGUUCUAAGGAUGAAAGAAAGGGGAUACAUCGAAUUUGAUGUCUAUAGAAUUUAAUCAAAGGAUGAAUAUAAGGAUGUUGUUUUACCACCUGCAAUUCUGGAACACUACGAGAUUCCCAGUGGGGAGCCCAAUGCAGAGCUUGAACUCACAACCUUGAGGUCAAGAGUCGGAAGCUUAACUGACUGAGCCACCCAGAACUCAGAAGUUAUUGCCCAUGUUGUGCCCGGCAUGUAUCUAUGAAGAUUUGCAUGCUUCUUUUUCUACAUGGAUCUUCCCUGCCAAAGCUUUUUCGGAACCUUGGGAGAACCCAACUACUUGAAGAGAAAACACAGGUACGCUCAAAAAUAGCUACACUCCAUGCACU